GACGAACGCUGGCGGCGUGCUUAACACAUGCAAGUCGAACGGAGUGGCGAACGGGUGAGUAACACGUGGGUGAUCUGCCUUGCACUUCGGGAUAAGCUUGGGAAACUGGGUCUAAUACCGGAUAGUGCAAGAUGAGCUCGCGGCCUAUCAGCUUGUUGGUGGGGUAAGGGCCUACCAAGGCGUCGACGGGUAGCCGGCCUGGGAGGGUGUACGGCCACAUUGGGCCUGAGUUAGGGAGCAGACGCCUACGGGAGGCAGUGGGGGGGAAUAUUGCACAAGGGGCGGAAGCCUGAGGCAGCGACGCCGCGUGGGGGAUGAAGGCCUUCGGGUUGUAAACUCCUGUCGACAGGGACGCGGUACCUGUAUAAGAAGCACCGGCUAACUACGUGCCAGCAGCCGCGGUAAUUC
rnacentral:rRNA from 1 species